rnacentral:rRNA from 1 species
UACGUAGGAUGCAAGCGUUGUCCGGAAUUAUUGGGCGUAAAGAGCGCGCAGGCGGUCUAUCAAGUCAGAUGUGAAAUAUCCCGGCUUAACCGGGAGGGGUCAUUUGAAACUGGUAGACUAGAGUACAGCAGAGGAUAGCGGAAUUCCCGGUGUAGUGGUGAAAUGCGUAGAUAUCGGAAGGAACAUCAGUGGCGAAAAGCGGCUUCCUGGACCAGUAUCGACGUUCAGGCACGGAAAAGCGUGGGGAGCAAACAGG